GCUAAUGAAAAUCAGGAUGUGAUAUUUCUAAGUCUAAGCCUUAGGUCUCCACAGAAAACUCAGAAGAAGUAGAUGCCAGGACCAGAAGAAGUAGAUCAGCAGGAGCAGACGGACUAGGGGAGAAGCAUAGACUGAAGAAUGUGGACUGAUUGAUGAAGCAGAGCAUCCAUUGUGCACAUGUACUGACCCACUGGAUUAGAGAGGGGGCAGAGUGAUAAGGGCUGCAGUAACAGUAGUGACCACCAACAGCUGGAUAUUGCUCUCCAGUGACACACAAACACCCAUUCACGCCUAGUCUUUGUUUUGAUCUUUAUGUCAAGACACCUUCAAUCCAAUAUCUCAACCUCUUACACAGUGUAAGACAUGACAUAAUGCAUUUCGUAUUCCAAAUCUACCAUUAAUUAUUGCUGAGGCUUUAGGCAUGACACUGAAAGCAUCUUUGCCUGGUGCAGGUCUUUCUUCUAUGAUACAAAAUAUUCAUGUUUCUCUCAAACCAGAAAAAUGAAUGCCCGUUCCCUUUGUAGAAUAAAUUAUGAAAUUUACUUUAUCA